CAACUGUUCAGCUUUCAGCAGCUACUUUUCUGGUUUGAAGGGGAGGGGGAGAGGAGGAGAAAGAAAGCACCACACACCCAACAAACUGAGGAGAACUAGGCAGUUUUCUGAUCAGAGUUCAGAUAAGGAAGGUCAGAGUCAUUUGUGGGCACUGACUAAAAUAACCCCACGGAUGGGAGAGUUACCACAUAAGAAGCAAACUAAAACGGACAUCUGAAGUGGGAGGAUUCAAGUUUCCAACAGUGUCCCAGGUAAAGCCAUGCACUGGGCUGUCCACUGUGCUCAGAACAGUAGGAAUUUAGAAUAUAGAUGACAUAACACCUCAUUUGGAUCUACUGUUUCAAAUCUGCAUCAAGAUUUUUGAAGUUUGAAUUGCUCUUCCAAUUCAUCCCCAUCCAUUUCAUUGCAUCUGGGGCCAGAGAACCUACUCUGAGUGGUGCUCAUGUCUAAUAGGAGAUCCUGACACAGAGAAGUCUCUGGACGGAAUCGCACAGAAGAGCUCAUUCCUCUGGACCAAGAGAAAAGAAAUCAAGCUAGAGACAAGGCACAUCCUGGUUAGAUGUCACACCUCUUUGCAGUAUAUGAAUGCUUUCUGAGAAAAAUUCACUAAACGCAAUGGGAGUAAUAAAUGAUGCGUCCAAGAAAAGAAAAGGACAUGGACUUCGAUGUGCAGACUGAUGUUGAUUACAAAAUGGAACAGGUAUCACAUGGAAUGUAAUUCUUCAGCUUGACUAGCGGUGCUUCAAAGGCUGCAUGUGGCAAUUGGUUUCUGCAUGGAAUGUGUCAGUCUGGGCCAUCUCUACCACCGUGAAACGUUCAGUUAGAACCAGUGUUGAUACAUGAAUUUCAUACCUGGGAGUCCGGCGAUUAGAAAUAGAACUGCAGCGCUGAGCAUCUGUGGAGACUUCUGCAGACUAUAUUUCAGGCGUUCGAGAGUGCGCGCUGCAUCAAAAUCCAACCAAUAGCAGGGGGGGAGCCUUGCCCUCCCUAGCCUCGAUUUGUUUCCCCUACCUGAAGCCAGGGUGUGCUGCAGCUGCGAGGUGACCGCCCUCCAGGCCCCUCCUGCUCUGCUCCAACUGCAAAAGCGUGAAGGCAAGCUACAAAUGGUUUACAGGAGACCCUUGCCAAAAUCAAGGCUGACUUCUGGCCACCCUCGCAUGUUCGUUUCACCGGCAGGUGACCUCCAAGGGAAGGCGUGUGUGUAAAGGAGGGUUUGGUUUGGGAGGUUUUUUAAUUCAAACUCAGCCGUUUAUUCUGCAGCCCCCGUGCAACGCGGGAACCGUCCUAGGAAGUGAGAAGGAACUAUACAGGGAUCCUGGGCCGCUGGACCCUCAGUGGCAGAAAGAGAGCGUCUGAAUUCUGUAGCUGUAAUUAUCGUUCACAAAGUCAACCCAUUUCCGUGUGUAUAUUUGUAGAGGAUGAUUGGGAAAUAUGCACUGGAGAAAGAUCGCUAGUUCAAUCACAAAAAAUCAAUGGGUUAGAUACCAAGUGGAAAGGAAAGCGCUGAGUGGCACAUCACCUUUCUGUCCCUCAGUCCUUUCCCUCCAGAAAGAAAUACAGCUAUUGACAAUACAUUCAGUGUGGGCUCUUUUGUUGGAGCAGCAGAAACUGAACUCUGGCUAGUUUCUUACUGAAAGCCUGUGAGGACAUUUACAGAAUAAAAAGAAGGCUGAAGAAACCUACUUAACAGAGGACAGGCCAGCCUGUGUCGGGGUCUCUAUAGCAGACCCAGCAGCCAGCACCAUCAGUUACCAUUGCUAGGUGGACGAUUGGUAGGAGUUUCUCUUCUCAUCAUCCUCAAAUGGCCUGAGUCAACAGGGUGUCCCUUUGUCAAUGGGCACAUGCCUGUAAGGUUUUGAAAAAGUGGAGUCCUCAAUUUGCUGAUUCACAGGGUCACCUGGCGGCUUCUAAAAGAAUGGGGAGAAUGGAAGGUCUUUCUCCUCCAUUGACACGUUUACGGCUGUGGAUCUGACUGCUAUAAUCUCGCCUGGGUUGAUGGUUAUUCAUUCCCUUUCAUUAGUUUUCAUUACUGUACCUGGAAUCCAGGGUCUCAUGGAUGCCAGGGAAGCACUCCACCUCUGAGCUACAUCCCCAACCCUCAUCUCCUUUCAAAAUUCAUCUUUGAGAGACAUGAAGACAGGACUUGAACUUGCAAACUUCCUGCCUCAGCCUCCUGAGAGGUUGGGAUUAUAGGCAUAUGCCACCAUACCAGGCUAACUCGGAUUUGCAACCUUCUUUGUCAGGGCUACCUUUUUGUGAAGGUCCAAUGAUGUUUGAAACAGAAGUGGUAUUGAAUUAUACCAGGACAAGAGGCAUGGGCUUUGGCAGUCCUUGGCAACUAAGGUGUGUGUGGCUCUGCUUUCCCUUUUCAUAAUUGUGUUUUCUCAGAUCAAUUUAAGGAAAGCCAAAUGCUCCUUAAGGAAUGAAAAAGGCCGCCUUCUUCUCUAUGUCCCCAACAUCUCUUUUGUGCUUGGCAUGGGACAUAGCUUAUGCAUCAUUACAAUGCAAUUAUUAAACUCAUAUGAUUCUCUCUCAUGCCCAUUUUUCAGUGUAUCUGAGGGGUAUGCUAUCUCCAAUACUCACAGUGGGGGUCAUAGCCAACUCCCUUUUCUCUUUGCAUCAUAGAAAUGGAUAAAGAACUAAAUGAUCCCAAACAUUUCUAUUUAUGGAAAAUACUGUUACUUAAUGAGGAAAUGACAUUUUGGCAAACAGGAAGGCAAAAUAUUUAUGUAUUUUAAAAGAUUGGUAUCCGUUGAAAGGUCUUUAAACAACAACACUUAAAGCCAGGGUGGCCUUUACAGAAUGCCUAUUUUAUGAAACAUAGGUGGGCACUACAAUAUAGCAUUACUAGCCAGUAGCUCAUUUCAUGUGUUCUUGGAUUUUGUCUACCUACAUGUCUCUAGCUGGUCUUUCAGAGAGAUACAACCUUCAGAUUUCAAGAACCACUGAGUUGUACUCUCACCUUCCAAGCCAGUGAGUCUCAAACCUUCCUAAUGUUGGGACCCUUUAAUAUAGUUCCUCAUGUUGUGAUAACCUCCAAUCAUAACAUUAUUUUGUUGCUACUUCAUAACUAUAAUUUUGCUACUUUUAUGAAUAAUAAUGUAAAUAUCUGAUAUGUGACUCCCCAGGUUAAGAACCAUUGUUAAAGCUCACUGGUAAAAGAGAUCUGCCUUGGAUUGCAUUUUCUGGGGCCGGCUCUGCCCUGAGGAUUAGUCACAAGGAUUUGUAAUGGGUCUGGUUCAGUGUCAGGGUAUGCUUUCAGAUGGUCACUCCAACAAUGUCUUCCUUCAAGAGCACUGUGUCCAGGAAUCCCUGAAUUUCCCUGCACAGUUGCAGCUGAGAGUGAAGAUCAAAGAAGCUUCUUCGAUCAAGCAGAGUCACAAGCAAAUGCCUCUCAGACACAUUUGAAGACCAACGUAAGAGACUAAUGAGUUGUGCUUACUCCAGGCUCAUUCCUCUUUUGUUUCCUGCUGGGCACUGUGGGCAUGGGGAACCCACGUCUAAUGAGCCAUAGAUGGAUGCACUGCAGCUCUGUGAUAAAGGCACAAGUGCAAACCAAGGCCCCUAGGACAAAUAACACCUGCAUCAGAAAAGCAGGUCAUCCCAUAAUGUGGGAGGUUGUCACGGUUCCCUACCUUCUCCGCACUAUUUUCCUUUGGUGGAAACGCUUUUCCUAUCAGUCAUUCUAAAGCACCGUCCCCUCAUCCCCUUCAUCCAAGGACAUUAUGGUCCCACUUGUCAUGCGAUGUUGGUUGUCCCAUUCAGAACUCAUGAAGUGGAAAGCAAAGCAUAGGAUGUUACUGAGAUACAGUUCUAUCUUUUAAGGUUCUACAAGGACUAAUAGUUCUAUUAAAGCAAUGAUAUGGAAAAUUGUGGUCAUAAAAGGAAAAUGAGUCAUAUUUACAUUAUGCUGACUAAUAUUUUUAAUUUAAAUAGGAUUUAUUUUAGAAUAGAAACUACUUGGCAUUCAGAUUAUUAACUCGAGAGGGAAAAAAAUGCAUGAACUGUGGCAUAUUGACAGGAGACUAAUUUCCUGUAAGGGGGAAGAGUAGCUUGGAAUGAUCUAGAAAGCAUGGGAGGGAAAUGGCCAACUCGACUGUAAUGCAAAGCGAAAGAACAUAUGUGAAGCGGAGAGCGAUGUGUUCUUGACUAACUCAGCAGAACAACUUUCAAGCAGGACAGUGAAAUUUUAGUGACAUGACGUGUGUUAGUGCCAAGUGAACAUUAGCGUCUACAAAACACACUUGUUUAUCUUGUGUGAAAUGAUCCAAUAUGUAGACAUUUUGUGUGGUUUGUUGUGACAGAUACUCUGAGUGUAGAUGCACUUCUCUGAGCCCAAGGGCCUGAGUUAAGGUGAAACCUGAGUGCAAUCCAGAUAUUUCCAUGAGCAGAGUUGGAAAAUCGUAGUUCAGUAUUCUUCUCUUGCCCAUUGAUGCUUUCCUUAGUGCCAGGAGGCCACUAAGGCAUUGCUUUCUCAGUCCUCGAUUGUCUGGGUGAUUGUUUUCUAGUGUCCAUGUUUCCAGGAUAGACACUGGCCUGACUGAUAUUAAUAACACUUUAAAAUCCUCACAUCUGCAGAGUGACGUGAAAGGAAAUGAAAAAGCUGCAUCUCCAUUGGUUAUGUUUGUUAUCGAGUUCACAGUUUCAAAAUAUGAUACAAAAUUUAAAAGUUACUCAGAUAUUCCAUCAUAUACACAUCAUCAAUUAGAGAUGGAUUAUUUGCUCAUAUUUAACUUUUUUUCCACUUAAUUUCAUACAUCUGCUAAGUCACCAAAGUUCACAAAAGAUAUAGCUUAUUUUCAAAUUGUUUUUAUUAAGUUAUUUAUCAAGACUGAAAAAAUAGUCUCUCUUUCUCAGGCUUAAACUCUGUAAGGAUGAGAUCUAUGUACUGUCUAUUUAUAAUAAAUAUUGAAACUUUACUCCAUUGCUUACAGUGCAGUGGGAUUCACUCAAUGAUAUCAGCUACAUUCGGUGCCAGCCCUUCAAAAGGAAUCUCUUCCAUCUCCCUAGAAAGAUCUCUAUAGGAAAACUUGUUUGCGAAAUGACUGAAGCUCCCUUAACAAAUAAAACACAACAGUGUUUGUUGCUCUUUUUCUCUGAAGUGAUGACAAAUUGCCGAGGAGUGAAAGCCUUCAGACUAAUAACAGAGGAAAAUUGACUCUAAGAUCCCAUCAUUUUGUUUACCAGCUGUCUUUACAAUCCUAUAAUAACCCAGCCCACGUUUAAAAAAAAUGUUCAGAGAUAGUAAAAUAGACCAGAAACAAACGAUCUCUCUGCUGGAAUUAGUUUACGCAUGGGAACAGGCUGGAAAGAAAAAUAUGAUUCAGAAACUUACCUAGCUCUCAGGCAUGAGACCCGGUGACCACAUACUCGGGCUGAAGCACAACUCAGGAGCAUUACAUCAUCGUGACAAACUUUCAUUGGCUGCAGAAACCCCAAGGAUAACACAGGCUUGUAAGGUGCUGUGUGAAAGCCCCCGGUGGCUUUCUUUAUCAAGGUUACAGCUAAAAUACUGAGAGCUAGACUUUACCUUCCUUAAGCCUGUCCUGGCCAAACUGACAAGACAUUGUUAACCAUUUCUGAACAUGUUUAUCUUCACUUUAGUAAUUAGUUUUCUAUUUAACUCUAACCUGUGAGGACAUUUUUUUUUUCUUGUUAAAAUUUUCCUUUAAAAAUGGUUUUGACAUUAGCUUGUUUUAAUCUAAGGUUUGCCGCAUCAUUCUGUAUGAAUGACAGAGGCCCCUAAUUAGUCUUGAGGCCAUCAUUAUUAUUUUAAAUACCUUAUUUAAUUAAUGAAUCCAUUUCAUCUAAUUGACUUAGUUUGUCCUUAUUUAUCUCUAAGAGGAGGGACAGGUACCCCCACAUUUAUUUAUAGAAAUCUGAAUGGAAGUAGUACACGCAGUCCUCGCUUCUGAAUCAUUCAUUUUCACUGUCAGAUUUUUCCCCCUUGUAUUGAACUGUAGAAGUUAUUUAUUUCCUGCUAUUAAAAUGGUGACUUAAAAACUGAA